AUUCUUAUCUGGUAUAGGGGAUACCGUCAUCAUGCAGGCGGUUCACCCAGGGCGAGGCUGCUCCAUUGCACUGCGGAGUGGUUGACCCUUGCGAUUAUUUUUAUUUUUAUCAAUAAAAAAAUCAUAACAAAAAAGUGUGUGUGUCCGCUCCGACGCACG
rnacentral:snRNA from 9 species